rnacentral:rRNA from 1 species
GAUGAACGCUGGCGGCGUGCCUAAUACAUGCAAGUCGAGCGAACGGACGAGAAGCUUGCUUCUCUGAUGUUAGCGGCGGACGGGUGAGUAACACGUGGAUAACCUACCUAUAAGACUGGGAUAACUUCGGGAAACCGGAGUUAAUACCGGAUAAUAUUUUGAACCGCAUGGUUCAAAAGUGAAAGACGGUCUUGCUGUCACUUAUAGAUGGAUCCGCGCUGCAUUAGCUAGUUGGUAAGGUAACGGCUUACCAAGGCAACGAUGCAUAGCCGACCUGAGGGGGUGAUCGGCCACACUGGAACUGAGACACGGUCCAGACUCCUACGGGAGGCAGCAGUAGGGAAUCUUCCGCAAUGGGCGAAAGCCUGACGGAGCAACGCCGCGUGAGUGAUGAAGGUCUUCGGAUCGUAAAACUCUGUUAUUAGGGAAGAACAUAUGUGUAAGUAACUGUGCACAUCUUGACGGUACCUAAUCAGAAAGCCACGGCUAACUACGUG